GAUGAACGCUGGCGGCGUGCCUAAUACAUGCAAGUAGAACGCUGAAGGAGGAGCUUGCUCUUCUGGAUGAGUUGCGAACGGGUGAGUAACGCGUAUGUAACCUGCCUGGUAGCGGGGGAUAACAAUUGGAAACGAUAGCUAAUACCCCAGAACAACAGUUAUUGCAUGAUAACUGUUUAAAAGGGGCAACUGCUCCACUACCAGAUGAACCUGCGUUGUAUUAUCUAGUUGGUGAGGUAACGGCUCACCAAGGCGACGAUACAUAGCCGGCCUGAGAGGGGGGACGGCCAAACUGGGAACGGGACAAGGGCCAAGACCCUUAGGGAGGCAGCAGUAGGGGAACUUCGGCAAUGGACGGAAGUCUGACCGAGCAAAGCCGCGUGAGGGAAGAAGGUUUUCGGGUCGUAAAGAUCUGUUGUAAGGGAAGAAAGAGUGUGAGAGUGAAAAGUUCACGCUGUGACGGUAUCUAACCAGAAAGGGACGGCUAACUACGUG
rnacentral:rRNA from 1 species